AUUUGAUUCCCCAACAACCCUAGGAGGCAGGUCCUAUUAUUGUUCUCAUUUGACAGAUGAUGAAACCAAGGCUCUGAGAGGUGAAUGGUUAGCCCAAAUUCACAUAGCUCAGAGAAGAUAGUGAAACACGGGUCUGUCCAAAGGAGGGCAUCCAGGAAACGGAUAAGUGGGAAACAGGAUUACAACAGGACCAGCGGGGGAAAGCUAGAUAUGUAGCCAGAGAGGAAAACAUUCCAAAGGAAGGGAACUCAAACACUGCAAAUUUCAAGUGUUGUCUGUGUAGAACUAUCUGAGUCUAGGAGAGAAUCAGGGAACAUCAGAAGAUAAAGAAACAGAUUUCAUGUCAAGAUAGGAGAGCAUUUAAGCCCACUGUCCACAACGGAAUAGGCCGGCUCUGGGAUUGGUAGGUUCACCAUCCAGUGGCCAGGCAUUUGUCACAGACGGAAGUCUAGCAGCUAAUGGCUAGGAAGUAGGGGUGAAGGAAAGAGGUCCUGAGUUUCAUUGACCUGCAUUGCCUUCCAGUUCUGUGUACUCAGUUGGGAGGGAUGCAGCAGAUUGCCUUCCUAGCUGAGACUAACAUGCUAGAGCCACGCAGCUGAUGACCUGGGGUUAAACAUAUGCCAAAACGAACCCAAAACAUAUGCAAACCUAAAAUCCUCUAAGAAAGGCUUGAGAGAGUUUAGAUCUCUGCAGCCCUCCUUGACAAAGAGGCAGAGCAGGAUAAUGGAAAAGGCUAAAGCUCUGGGUUCACAGAGACUUGGCUUCAAAUUUUAGUUCACCCACUUGCCACGCGAUCCAGGACAGAUGUUUAAGCUCAUUAAGUCUCAAUUUGCUCAUCUGUAAAAUAAAUAUGAGAAGCCUGUCUUGUGGGGUAGCUUGGAGAUUCUAUGAGUCAAUGCCUGUAAAGUACUAGUAAUAGGAUGCCUGGCCCUUAGGCAGACUCAGCAAAUAAUUCCUAUGGUUCUAACGAUGAUCUCUUUGUGUCUCCCCAGCGAGUGGCAUUAAGCCUUGAAGAUGAUGGACUGCCGUAAGGAUGGGACCACUCCCUUCAUGCCUCACGGAAUUCAGUUCCAUGCACUACACUCUCUGGAUGGUGUAUGCCUGGAUGGAAGGAUUUCUGUAUGGGCCUGAGUGAGUGUGCGCGUGUCUGUGUGUGCGUGUGUAAUUUUAAUUUAUGUUGCAGAAAGGUAACCACAAAGUUAUGAUGAACUGCAGACAUCCAAAGGAUGUGAGAGUUUUUAUAUGUAUAAUGUUUUAUACACUUUUUAACUGGUUGCACUACCCAUGAGGAAUUCAUGGAAUGGCUACUGCUGAGUGACUAACAUGAUGUACAUAACCAAAUGGGGCCGAUGGUACAGUAGCUUACUCAUCAUUUAAAAACUAUAUUUACAGAGAGAAUAUUUGAUUUCGGGGGGGCUUUUUUAGGUUUUGGAGUUUUGGGGGUUUUUUUUGUAAAUAAAAUGAUUAUGCUUUGUGGCUAUCCAUCAACAUAAAAAAGAAAAGAAAGAUAAGCACCUCAACUCCCUCCCCAAUUUAGAUUAUUUAUUAACAAACUUCAUAAAUAAGAUUAGUUCUAUGAAUCAUUUAGAGACAUGAGAGUAUUUAUUUUUGGUAUGAUUGGCCCACCACACAGACUCUGUGUGCAUUGUGUUUGUCUGCAUGUGUGUGCAAGAGAAAACUCUAGAGAAGAGGCGCACCUAUGGCGGUUGUUCAAGUACAUGACGAUAGAUAUAUUUUAAGCCAGUCCACAGAGGGCAUCUGGAGUUUUCAGAGAAUUCACCUUUGGAACCCUGGCUCAGAGAACAGAUACCAUGGUGUGUGCACACAUGUAGCGGCAGAGGCAGAACCUCCCCAGCUCUGGCUAUUCCUGGGACCCGACUCGGGCAAAGCCCUUCAGGCUGCUGGGACUCCCCCCUGGGCUUUCUCUUACGGGGCUAAGGCCAGCGUACAGACUUUACACGGUGCCAGAAGUCCUCGUGAGCUCAGGUGAGAACAUGCCUGAACCUUGGCUACUCCUGUUUUAAAGUUCAGCAUUUUGAGCAACUUCAUUUUCCUUCAGGACACUUGGGUUGAAUUCAUUAAGGUUGCAUUCCUUACUGAUAGAGAGCUAAGUGAAGAUGUUUCCAGAACAGCCCAGGUUUACUCUAGGGACUGGCUUAGGCACAGAACCCCUGGGAUGCACUAUGGAUGAGGAUAAAGAUGGUGGAAUAGGUUUUGUUACAUCUCCAUCUCUCCCUUCCUCUUACUCUCCCAUUUCCUUUAGGUGGGGAAGAGUAAUACUUAGGUUUGUUGCCAUCAUGUGUUCGCAUAGAUGAAACUAAUGUGGGGCUUAAGGCAGUAAAGGUGGACAAACCUAAAGUCCUAUUUGAGGGGGAAAUGGCAUACGCAAUAUUAUAGGACACUGGAUAUAUGUUCACACAGAAGUUUGGUUUACUGCUUUGUAAAUAAAAGGAAGAACUCUAGGUCUAUGUACAGCUUUGUUUCACCAUGGACACUUCCUGUGCCUCUCCUGGGCCUUGGGGAGGCGGGGAGAAGUGUUCAUCUCUCUUUGUGGAGUCUACCAUUGAAAACAUAAUCCAAUAGUCCCAGAAGGAAUGCAGUCCCCGCUGGCUCUAUCGUCCAAGGUCUUUCCUUAACUCUGCUGUUCCACACUGUACUCCCACUGGACAACCAGGCACAAGACGUGACACAGCGUGUUUGGCUUCAGUAGGGGCAGAGGACAUGUACCUCACCUCAGCAUACCUGGAACUUGGCCCAUACAGGCAUUCUGGAGUUCUGUCACCCUGUUCCUAGGACCUUUCUUUCUCUCCGUCACUCAUGAUCUGCUAGAUUCUGGGGAAACAACCGUAUUCUGGAGCCUGGGCACUAUGCUUUGCAUAAACAAGCAAUUUCCUCAUGAUACGUAUGUGCCGAUAGUCCUGAAACGUCCGGUAAGAGGGAAAGAUGCAUUGACUUAGAAUGACCGUUACCAAAUAGAAUUUUAAAAACAUCCGGCCAACUCCUAUGGAGCUUAGUCACUUACUACUAUUCUUUCAAGAAUAAAAAGUAAAAUAAUUUUUGACUGAAGAAAAAUUAUGGAAGUGAAAAGUCAUUGAAAUUUACACAAAAACAAGCAACUUUUUCUUUAACCUGCCUCCAAAGAAAUAGAAUUUCCCGGGGAAAUUAUAAUAGUGUCUAAUGCAUAAUAUCUAAACUUUCAGUCAGAUCCUGGCCUUCACAGAAAAAAUAAUGAAUGGGAUCAGGAUGAUUCAGCCCGAUAUCUCAAAAGGAAGAUGAAACACAACUUUCUCAGAGAUACCCAUGUUUUCUGAAUAUGCUGCAACUGCAGUUUGAAAGAGGCAGCUAUGGGAACAGCCUACAAAAAACCAAAUUGUGGAAUAUUCACGUGUUGGAUGGUAGUAAAGUAGAUGAAAUCUGAAUACUCAAGUCCAUCCUCUAGCCCUGAAGGCUGUAAGUCUCAUUCUGAGGUUUAGUUGCAUUUCUGUUGCUUUUUGCCCUGAUGCCGUCAUAUACCAACAGUCAGGAACAGGUCAGAGAGUCAUUGGACUAUACGCAGAGCUGGAGGACGCUUAGAAACAACACCAAGAGGGCAGAAGGUGUAUCAGACAAUUUUUCUCUAUUUAAAAGAAACGCUGCGGUCCUUUUCCUCCCUUUUCUUCUCCAGUUGACUACUUCGCACUGCCUGAACAUUGCACCAAACCUGCCACCUUUCUUUCCAACGGGAUUAUGAAGGCACUGGCAGAAAUGGCCUUCCAGAAACAGGGAAAACUAAAAUUUCAUUUAUUUACUUUUGAUGGCAUGAUUAUUUUCACAAUAGAUGGAGAUAACCUGUAACCUCAGGAUGAGAUUGGAUUUAAAUUUAUGGCAAUAAACACUGGAUCCCUCCAAUUCUCUCUUUGCGACUGCAAUAUAUGCAUUCACUGAACCCAUUUGCUAGGUAUCAGCUAAGUGUUGGGCACUGCAGAAGUAUAGGUCAGUCAAACAUUUUCUGUCCCUAUGGCACUCACAGUGGCAGUAGAGGAAGACGUGGAAACAAAAAAAAAAGAAUAGAUUCUUUUCAGAAUAAUGUUAUGAUACUAAGUGGUCAUUUCUACCGAAGGAGAUAAUGGGGUCAAGAAAGCCACCACAGGAGAAGUGACCUUAAGUCUUAAAAACUAAGUAGGGAUGUCAGGCUGCUUCAGGCAG